AUGAUUUUGAUUUCUUUAUCCAAAAACUGAGUUUUCAUACAUUUUAAUUCAUUUCAUAUAUUAGUUUCAGCUAAUGUCUACAGUGGUCCUUUCCAAAAAUGAAGGAUGAACAACAACAGAAAGAAGAAUACAGGUACUUGUGUCUUCCAGGGCUCAUCAUUCUUGGGGGCACUUGCUGCACUUUUGUUCAUGUCUGCCCAUCAUUCCUCUUUAAGGGAGUAUGGAUCUUACUUUCUUGCUUCCUUGUGAGGUCUCACAUGGAGAUCAGCGGAAAACAGUGGCCAUCUGUAUCCAUUGGCUCUUCACUGAUAGCCCAGCUAACCUUUUCUGGUUACAUACCUUUCUGUUGGGAUCCUUUACACUCCUUCUAUGAAGCUGAAAAAGACCCAAGUUCCUUGCUUCCCCCCUUCCUCCUAACCGGCACUUCUGACUUAGUUAAAGGAAUCAAUAAACCUUUGUAAAGUAACAGAAUUCCAGCUGGGAACGAGUUUUUCACCAAAUGUGUAUUUUAUCAGUUUACAAAAACCCACAUCAUGUUCAUUAAAGUUUUAAACUGGAUCCUAAGAGUAAAAUGAAAGGACCUUUUCUCUUAGUGCACAUUAAGGCCUAUAAUCUAAUCUUACUCAUCAUGCCAAAGCCUUGAAAUGAGAUCAAAUACUUUAAAUGAGCUCAAUUAAAAUGUUUUCUUUCCCUGAAUGCCAGGGUGUGGGCAGGGUGGUGGGAAUGAUGGGAACCCUGCAGAGAUCAAAACAUACUCUGCCAACUGCCACACUCCCCAAACUGGAGACUAAUAAGAACUGUUACUUUUCUUCCCUAUUGCUGUCACAGAUAAAUGAAAAGUAUUUGUGAAUCAUAUCAGAAUCAUAGAAUUUGGGAGUUGGAAGAGACCUCAGCAGUGGGCUAAACCAACCCAUACACAAAAGGAAUCCCUACUGAAACAUAACCAACAAGAAAGUAAUUGUUUAGUUCAGCCUUUGCUUAAAGACCUCCAAGGAGGGGUAGGGAGCCCACCACCUCUUAGGCCUUUCUACCUUUGGAGAGUUAGAAUAUAACACAGCCCUUCAAAUACUUGAAGACAGCUAUCUUUUCUCCAGAUUACUAAGCCAUUAAUUGCCAUUAAAAAAAGUAAAUUUUAUUUGUGAUUUUGCUAUGAAUAAAAACCUACUUUAUCUCCUCCCUCA
rnacentral:lncRNA from 1 species